rnacentral:rRNA from 1 species
UCCCUUAGUAGCGGCGAGCGAAACGGGAAGAGUCCAGCACCGAAUCCCGCGCUCUUUGGGCGUUUGGGAGAUGUGGCGUUUAGGAAGGAGCGUUCGGAGGUUGAAUCGGCAGCAAGUCCCCCUGACCGGGGCUCUUUACCCAGAGUGGGUGCCAGGCCCAUAGUUGUUGAUUCUCCUUCGGAUGCGAUCUCCUUGGAGUCGGGUUGCUUGGGAGUGCAACCCUAAUCGGGUGGUAAACUCCACCUAAGACUAAAUAUGACCGUGAGACCGAUAGCAAACAAGUACCGUGAGGGAAAGUUGCAAAGAACUUUGAAGAGAGAGUUCAAAAGUACGUGAAACUGUUCAGAGGUAAACAGGUGGGCCCUCGAAAUCCUGUGGCGGAAAGAUUCAGUUGAUUUGUACCGGCGUGGCGUCACUCGCAGACCGCAAGGCUCGUGUGAUUAUACCGCUCAAUGCUUAUCUUCGCAUUUGUUUUCCGCCCGAAGGACGCCGCAAUCGGUUGGGAGACGGAUUGAAUGUCUGGAGCGGGAGCUCGCUGACGGGUUUUCCCUUCGGGGUUCCGUUGGCUGUUGCUCGUUCUGACGAUAUCUCGUAGCCCGACCGUGGUGUCGCGAGGCCUUGAUGGGCUUCUCCGCCUCCUCCCUUUAGCCGGAAGCCGGGUGGGCGCGGCAAGACUUACUCUCUACGCGGGCGCACGUACUGAAUGCGUGGCCCAGCGCUGUGAGUGUUUUGUUGGCUGCGCUAAGAACCCGUGGGAGUGCUCGGACCAAGGAGUCUAACAAGUAUGCGAGUCAAUGGGACUCGAUGAAGCCCAGAGGCGCAAUGAAAGCAAAGGACGGACUUGACUCCGUACCAAGCUGGGAUUCCUCCGCCUCGUGCGGGGGACGCACCAGCGACCCGUCCUAUCCGAUUUAUCGGUGGGGCGGAGUCUGAGCAUAUACGUUGGGACCCGAAAGAUGGUGAACUAUGCCCGGGCAGGACGAAGCCAGAGGAAACUCUGGUGGAGGUCCGUCGCGGUUCUGACGUGCAAAUCGAUCGCCAGACCUGGGUUUAGCGACGAAAGAUCAAUCGAACCAUCUAGUAGCUGGUUCCCUCCGAAGUUUCUCUCAGGAUAGCUGGCACUCAUGAGAAAUCAGUCUCAUCCGGUAAAGCGAAUGAUUAGAGGCCUUAGGGCCGAAACGACCUUAACCUAUUCUCAAACUUUAAAUGGGUGAGAAGUCCGUCUUGCAUGACUGAAGACUGGACGUUUCGGAUGAGAGUGCCCAGUGGGCCACUUUUGGUAA